rnacentral:rRNA from 1 species
GUCCACGCUGUAAACGAUGUGCACUAGGCGUGGGGCCCGUACGGGUUCUGUGCCGUAGCUAACGUGUUAAGUGCACCGCCUGGGGAGUAUGCUCGCAAGGGUGAAACUCAAAGGAAUUGACGGGGGCCCGCACAAGCGGUGGAGCAUGUGGUUUAAUUCGAUGGUACACGAGGAACCUUACCAGGGCUUGACAUGUGCGUGAAUGUUCACGAGAGUGGGCAGCCCCGCAAGGGGCGCGUACACAGGUGCUGCAUGGCUGUCGU